rnacentral:rRNA from 1 species
UAGGGAAUUUUCCACAAUGGACGCAAGUCUGAUGGAGCAACGCCGCGUGAGUGAAGAAGGUCUUCGGAUCGUAAAACUCUGUUGUUAGAGAAGAACACGAGUGAGAGUAACUGUUCAUUCGAUGACGGUAUCUAACCAGCAAGUCACGGCUAACUACGUGCCAG